rnacentral:rRNA from 1 species
AGAGUUUGAUCCUGGCUCAGAACGAACGCUGGCGGCAGGCUUAACACAUGCAAGUCGAACGCCCCGCAAGGGGAGUGGCGCAAGGGUGAGUAACGCGUGGGAAUCUGCCUCUUGGUACGGGAUAACCACGGGAAACUGUGGCUAAUACCGUAUGGUCCCUUCGGGGUAAAGAUUUAUCGCCAAGAGAUGAGCCCGCGUCAGAUUAGCUUGUUGGUGGGGUAACGGCCUACCAAGGCUACGAUCUGUAGCUGGUCUUAGAGGACGAUCAGCCACACUGGAACUGAGACACGGUCCAGACUCCUACGGGAGGCAGCAGUGGGGAAUAUUGGACAAUGGGGGAAACCCUGAUCCAGCCAUGCCGCGUGAGUGAUGAAGGCCUUCGGGUUGUAAAGCUCUUUUGUGAGGGAAGAUGAUGACGGUACCUCAAGAAUAAGCCCCGGCUAACUUCGUGCCAGCAGCCGCGGUAAUACGAAGGGGGCUAGCGUUGUUCGGAAUUACUGGGCGUAAAGGGUGCGUAGGUGGCUUUGCAAGUCAGGAGUGAAAUCCCUGGGCUCAACCCAGGAAUUGCUUUUGAGACUGCAUGGCUUGAGUACAGGAGAGGUGAGUGGAAUCCCCAGUGUAGAGGUAAAAUUCGUAGAUAUUGGGAGGAACACCGGUGGCGAAGGCGGCUCACUGGCCUGUAACUGACACUGAUGCACGAAAGCGUGGGGGGCAAACAGGAUUAGAUACCCUGGUAGUCCACGCCGUAAACUAUGAAUGCUAGUUGUUGGAGGGUUUACCCUUCAGUGACGCCGCUAACGCAUUAAGCAUUCCGCCUGGGGAGUACGGCCGCAAGGUUGAAACUCAAAGGAAUUGACGGGGGCCCGCACAAGCGGUGGAGUAUGUGGUUCAAUUCGACGCAACGCGAAGAACCUUACCAGGCCUUGACAUGCCACGGCGACUUCCAGAGAUGGAUUUCUUCCCGCAAGGGACGUGGACACAGGUGCUGCAUGGCUGUCGUCAGCUCGUGUCGUGAGAUGUUGGGUUAAGUCCCGCAACGAGCGCAACCCUCAUUGUCAGUUGCUACCAGGUUAUGCUGGGCACUCUGAUGAAACUGCCGGUGACAAGCCGGAGGAAGGCGGGGAUGACGUCAAGUCCUCAUGGCCCUUACGGCCUGGGCUACACACGUACUACAAUGGUGGUGACAGUGGGAUGCCAAAGCGCAAGCUGGAGCGAACCCCCAAAAGCCACCUCAGUUCAGAUUGCGCUCUGCAACUCGAGCGCAUGAAGUCGGAAUCGCUAGUAAUCGCGGAUCAGCACGUCGCGGUGAAUACGUUCCCGGGCCUUGUACACACCGCCCGUCACGCCAUGGAAGUUGGUUCUACCUGAAGGCAGUGCGCCAACCGCAAGGAGGCAGCUGACCACGGUAGGGUCAAUGACUGGGGCGAAGUCGUAACAAGGUAGCCGUA